AUUUCUACGGAUUAAUUCAAUGGCAGCUCACUUUCUCCUUUUAUGAUCGGAUGUGUCCAAAAGUGAGGAAAAAGACAAUUGUCUACAAAGAAAGAGGCUGCCAAGUGGAGACAGAAAAGCAGUUAUGAGACUGAUGAUAGAUUCCAAUUUGUUAUCGUACACGGGUGCUCUAGAUUUUCCUAUCAAUAGAGGGCGUCCUCGAGUCAUUGCAAAUCCUGGUGUCGUUAAACGGAACUGUUCUUCAGAGGAAAAACUUCACCUCUAUAAGAAAGGAAGGAGGAAACCUGAACAGUACAUCCAGAGAAUCCAGCAAAGCAUACCACGGCAUGAACAUGCAAGUGGACAGAAUUAAAACACAUGCCAGAAACACUAA
rnacentral:antisense_RNA from 1 species